GCCGGCGCUGCCGUGGUUGCGGCGGCGGUUCGGGGGGAAUCGCAGCGUGCCGGUCUCGGCGUUGGUGAUCGGGAGCAUGAUCCCGGACGCCGGCG
rnacentral:tRNA from 1 species